UACUAAUUCAUACAAUAUACUAGUAGAUAGGAAUUGUCUGGGUUUUUAGUUGUAUUUGCUUUUACUGUGAAUAAGAUCCUAGAACGAACGCCACACGUUUGUAUUUAAAUUCUGCUCUGCUUUCUGUUAUGAUGAUGCCAACAAUCAUGCAAACCCCCUGCCGAUACUAAAAUAGUAUCAAUAAACAUCACAUUGUAUGUGUAUUCCUUUAGACUAAUUCAACAGAGAGUUUAGAAAUCAGCACAGUGUAGCUGGUUAUUACCCACAAUGCCUUAGUUUGUCGUUAUAGGGCAGUUUAUCAGAGCGAAUGUGCGAUGCAGAUACCAGAGGCCAUAAAAAGGAGAAUCAUGUCUUCUGAUAAACAUGCAAAUGAUUCCUAAUGCUAAAAUUACACAAAUUUCGUACAGCUCCAGGGCAAAGCAGCUUCUUAGAAAUCGUUCAGACAGACGGACACAGAUGCUCUAAGAGACUCCGGUCACUUCUGUGAGACACGGACAUGGACACGGACAUGGUCAGCAACAAUACUCAGUGUAAUCUGAUCAGAGUCUAAACAAGCCUGGAUGAAGGAAAGAGGAUGAACCUGUCUGAACGUUACGAACAUAUAGACACGUCUUCAGGUCACAUCUGAUGACGACAGUGUGACCUUUCACACACACACACAAGUGUCACAUCUCAUGAAGAUGCAGAGACUUCACUGAAGAUCUAAUAAUGCCUGUGAUUAGUGAAGCUUUGUCGAGCAGCUGGAGAAGUGUUUGUGUUUGCUGUUAAUUCAACUCCAGACUCUAAUUUCAGGUAUUGUCGAGGCGAGCCUAAAGAUAUUCAGCGAAACGCCUUUCAUGUUUCAAAAAUGUUUCUUAGAACAUUCAUCAAGUACAAAAUAAUAACAUCAUAAGGACGUUCCAACAAUAUCGAUCUCAGCUCCUUUUCUCUCAAUGCUAUGAGAACAUAUAUCAAAUAUUAAUAAAGUUAUAAGAACGUCCAAUAAACAUUCAUUUAAGUAUAUUUUGUCCUAACAUUUAUGUAACUUUUAAAAGCUUCUAACAAGGCACACACAUUUUUGGUAGAAUCCUAAAAUACACAUUAGCAUACAUUUAAAAAGAGCACUUAUUAUAGAAAGAAUAGUCUUACAAGAAGAAGAACAUGCUGAAGUGAUACUGAAUGUAAUGCUUUUGGACACUUGAUUGCUUGUUCAUUGCAAUACAA